rnacentral:rRNA from 1 species
GACGAACGCUGGCGGCGUGCCUAAUACAUGCAAGUAGAACGCUGAAGGAGGAUCUUGCCUCUCUGGAUGAGUUGCGAAAGGGUGAGUAACGCGUAUGUAUCCCGCCUGGUAGCGGGUGAUAUCUAUUGGAAACGCUAGCUCAUAUCGCAUAAUAGUAGUUGUUGCAUGACAUUUACUUAAAAAAUGCAAUUGCAUCACUACCAGAUGGACCUGCGUUGUAUUAGUUAGUUGGUGGGGUAACGGCUCACCAACGCGACGAUACAUAGCAGACCUGAGAGGGUGGUCAGCCACACUGGGAGUGAGACACGGCCCAGACUCCUACGGGAAGCAGCAGUAGGGAAUCUUCGGGAAUGGACGAAAGGCUGACCGAGAAACGCCGCGUGAGGGAAGAAGGUUUUCGGGUCGUAAAGCUCUGUUGUCAGGGAAGAAAGAUUGUGAGAGUGGAAAGUUCACACUGUGACGGUAUCUUAACAGAAAGCGACGGCUAACUACGUG